AUGCAAGUCGAGCGGCAGCGGGAAGUAGCUUGCUACUUUGCCGGCGAGCGGCGGACGGGUGAGUAAUGUCUGGGAAACUGCCUGAUGGAGGGGGAUAACUACUGGAAACGGUAGCUAAUACCGCAUGACCUCGAAAGAGCAAAGUGGGGGACCUUCGGGCCUCACGCCAUCGGAUGUGCCCAGAUGGGAUUAGCUAGUAGGUGAGGUAAUGGCUCACCUAGGCGACGAUCCCUAGCUGGUCUGAGAGGAUGACCAGCCACACUGGAACUGAGACACGGUCCAGACUCCUACGGGAGGCAGCAGUGGGGAAUAUUGCACAAUGGGCGCAAGCCUGAUGCAGCCAUGCCGCGUGUGUGAAGAAGGCCUUCGGGUUGUAAAGCACUUUCAGCGAGGAGGAAGGCGUUAAGGUUAAUAACCUUAGCGAUUGACGUUACUCGCAGAAGAAGCACCGGCUAACUCCGUGCCAGCAGCCGCGGUAAUACGGAGGGUGCAAGCGUUAAUCGGAAUUACUGGGCGUAAAGCGCACGCAGGCGGUUUGUUAAGUCAGAUGUGAAAUCCCCGAGCUUAACUUGGGAACUGCAUUUGAAACUGGCAAGCUAGAGUCUUGUAGAGGGGGGUAGAAUUCCAGGUGUAGCGGUGAAA
rnacentral:rRNA from 1 species